rnacentral:rRNA from 1 species
AGUGAACGCUGGCGGUAGGCCUAACACAUGCAAGUCGAACGGCAGCACAGUAAGAGCUUGCUCUUACGGGUGGCGAGUGGCGGACGGGUGAGGAAUACAUCGGAAUCUACUUUUUCGUGGGGGAUAACGUAGGGAAACUUACGCUAAUACCGCAUACGACCUACGGGUGAAAGCAGGGGAUCUUCGGACCUUGCGCGAUUGAAUGAGCCGAUGUCGGAUUAGCUAGUUGGCGGGGUAAAGGCCCACCAAGGCGACGAUCCGUAGCUGGUCUGAGAGGAUGAUCAGACACACUGGAAAUGAGACACGGUACAGACUCCUACGGGAGGCAGCAGUGGGGAAUAUUGGACAAUGGGCGAAAGCAUGAACCAGCCAUACCGCGUGGGUGAAGGAGGCCUUCGGGUUGUAAAGCCCUUUUGUUGGGAAAGAAAAGCAGCAGGUUAAUACCCCGCUGUUCUGACGGUACCCAAAGAAUAAGCACCGGCUAACUUCGUG